AAAACAAAUGAGGAAGUUUCUAUAGCUCAUUACUAGAGACAUUUCUCUGAUCUGUAGAGCACCCUAAACCAUGAGGAGGGGCCAGAGCACCCUCUCCUGAGUGGGAAGCCAGUUCUACAUGUUGCUUCUGCAACUGGUUUAGCAUUGGUGAUGGCUUUUCUCUUCCCUUGGAAGAGAGAGAGAGAGGAAUCAGUCUGAGUGG
rnacentral:snoRNA from 1 species